CUGCGAUAAGCGCCGGUAAGGUGAUAUGAACCGUUAUAACCGGCGAUACCCGAAUGGGGAAACCCAGUGUGAUUCGUCACACUAUCAUUAACUGAAUCCAUAGGUUAAUGAGGCGAACCGGGGGAACUGAAACAUCUAAGUACCCCGAGGAAAAGAAAUCAACCGAGAUUCCCCCAGUAGCGGCGAGCGAACGGGGAGGAGCCCAGAGCCUGAAUCAGCAUGUGUGUUAGUGGAAGCGUCUGGAAAGGCGCGCGAUACAGGGUGACAGCCCCGUACACAAAAGCGCAUGUGCUGUGAGCUCGAUGAGUAGGGCGGGACACGUGGUAUCCUGUCUGAAUAUGGGGGGACCAUCCUCCAAGGCUAAAUACUCCUGACUGACCGAUAGUGAACCAGUACCGUGAGGGAAAGGCGAAAAGAACCCCGGCGAGGGGAGUGAAAAAGAACCUGAAACCGUGUACGUACAAGCAGUGGGAGCCCCACCACUAAGCCAGUGGUGAACUCCACAUACGCAUCCUUUGCUGAGGAUACGGUUAACGGAGCGCAAGCGACGUUCAACCUCAAAAGAAGCAGAGGGGGCUUAGUGGUGGGGUGACUGCGUACCUUUUGUAUAAUGGGUCAGCGACUUAUAUUCUGUAGCAAGGUUAACCGUAUAGGGGAGCCGGAGGGAAACCGAGUCUUAACCGGGCGUUAAGUUGCAGGGUAUAGACCCGAAACCCGGUGAUCUAGCCAUGGGCAGGUUGAAGGUUGGGUAACACUAACUGGAGGACCGAACCGACUAAUGUUGAAAAAUUAGCGGAUGACCUGUGGCUGGGGGUGAAAGGCCAAUCAAACCGGGAGAUAGCUGGUUCUCCCCGAAAGCUAUUUAGGUAGCGCCUCGUGAAUUCAUCUCCGGGGGUAGAGCACUGUUUCGGCUAGGGGGCCAUCCCGGCUUACCAACCCGAUGCAAACUGCGAAUACCGGAGAAUGUUAUCACGGGAGACACACGGCGGGUGCUAACGUCCGUCGUGAAGAGGGAAACAACCCAGACCGCCAGCUAAGGUCCCAAAGUCAUGGUUAAGUGGGAAACGAUGUGGGAAGGCCCAGACAGCCAGGAUGUUGGCUUAGAAGCAGCCAUCAUUUAAAGAAAGCGUAAUAGCUCACUGGUCGAGUCGGCCUGCGCGGAAGAUGUAACGGGGCUAAACCAUGCACCGAAGCUGCGGCAGCGACACUCAGGUGUUGUUGGGUAGGGGAGCGUUCUGUAAGCCUGCGAAGGUGGCCUGUGAGGGUUGCUGGAGGUAUCAGAAGUGCGAAUGCUGACAUAAGUAACGAUAAAGCGGGUGAAAAGCCCGCUCGCCGGAAGACCAAGGGUUCCUGUCCAACGUUAAUCGGGGCAGGGUGAGUCGACCCCUAAGGCGAGGCCGAAAGGCGUAGUCGAUGGGAAACGGGUUAAUAUUCCCGUACUUGGUGUUACUGCGAAGGGGGGACGGAGAAGGCUAUGUUGGCCGGGCGACGGUUGUCCCGGUUUAAGCGUGUAGGUGUGUGUUCCAGGUAAAUCCGGUUCACUUUAACACUGAGGCGUGACGACGAGGCACUACGGUGCUGAAGCAACAAAUGCCCUGCUUCCAGGAAAAGCCUCUAAGCAUCAGGUAACAUCAAAUCGUACCCCAAACCGACACAGGUGGUCAGGUAGAGAAUACCAAGGCGCUUGAGAGAACUCGGGUGAAGGAACUAGGCAAAAUGGUGCCGUAACUUCGGGAGAAGGCACGCUGACAUGUAGGUGAAGUGAUUUACUCAUGGAGCUGAAGUCAGUCGAAGAUACCAGCUGGCUGCAACUGUUUAUUAAAAACACAGCACUGUGCAAACACGAAAGUGGACGUAUACGGUGUGACGCCUGCCCGGUGCCGGAAGGUUAAUUGAUGGGGUCAGCGCAAGCGAAGCUCCUGAUCGAAGCCCCGGUAAACGGCGGCCGUAACUAUAACGGUCCUAAGGUAGCGAAAUUCCUUGUCGGGUAAGUUCCGACCUGCACGAAUGGCGUAAUGAUGGCCAGGCUGUCUCCACCCGAGACUCAGUGAAAUUGAACUCGCUGUGAAGAUGCAGUGUACCCGCGGCAAGACGGAAAGACCCCGUGAACCUUUACUAUAGCUUGACACUGAACAUUGAGCCUUGAUGUGUAGGAUAGGUGGGAGGCUUUGAAGUGUGG
rnacentral:rRNA from 1 species